rnacentral:lncRNA from 1 species
UUUUUCCUCAAAAUAACACAAGUUGCUGACUGCAAAUAACACUGGUAAAGAAAAGCAAUCUAUCUGGGCUCAUUCCAUUUUCCUACUAAGAUGAACAUUAGUUCUUGGAGACACCUUUUACUUUUGCAACUGUUAGGUUUUUCCAGGUGGUUUGCCGUAGUACAUUCAUAAAUCAAAGCAUGUUUCUGACAGAUUUAAAUUGUAUUUUCAGUGUGAGUGGAAAGAGCAAUGGACUAGAAAUUACGGAGACCUGGGUUCUGGGUCUAAGUCCGCCAUGAACAGAGCACGGUACGAGGUGUCUCUUCCGCUUCGACUUCCUCAUUCAUCACGGGCAGAAUCGGAACAGGGCACCUUGGAAUGGACGCCUUUGCUUCACCCGAGCCAAAUCUCCUCUCCGCACUCCUUCCUGACCCAAACGCUCACGGAAAAUCUACAAAGGAAGCUUACAGAGCCUUCCUUGAUGGAAAUUAUAAUUCAGCGGGAUCAUCUUCUGAGAAGAGAACACGGGUACUGCUUUAUGCAUCCUCAGGUUGCACACUUACUCUUUCUAUUAUUCUGGGAUUCUGUGUCUAUACUCAUUUAAGCCUUGCCUGUCACAAGUAAAUGUUUUCUUCCUGAUGGCUAAAAUAAUGUUUUCCACGUCUGGUCACCGCAACCCACUUCCGGGGCCGUUUUCCUGGUCAGUCACCGAGUAGUGGUUAUUGUCCUGUGACUUCCAGGCGUACUACCACGGCCCCCUCUUCCCGGGGCUCGCGGCAGCUCUGUGGAAGAGGACCCUGCUCUCCCUGGCCACCAUGGAUUAGCACAAGGACACGCAGCUGGGAUGAGUAGAAACUGUUCCCUGGGAUCCCAAGGAGAUUGUGUCUCUCAGAAACUGAACUUGAAUAUUUGAGCCGGGGAGUGAUGGGAAACCAUUUUAUAUGAACCAGGUGGAAGAAGCGGGGAGGAGCCUGUCAAGGAGAGACAGAGAAACGCUUCCCGCCUCCUGCACGCCGCUCUGGUUUUCUCUUGCUGUCCAUGUGCUGUGUGG